rnacentral:rRNA from 1 species
UGGCUCAGGAUGAACGCUGGCGGCGUGCCUAACACAUGCUUGUCGAGCGAUCUUCUUCGGAAGAGAGCGGCGGACGGGUGAGUAACGCGUGGGUAACCUGCCCUGUACACACGGAUAACAUACCGAAAGGUAUGCUAAUACGGGAUAAUAUGCUUUUAUCGCAUGGUAGAAGUAUCAAAGCUCCGGCGGUACAGGAUGGACCCGCGUCUGAUUAGCUAGUUGGUAAGGUAACGGCUUACCAAGGCGACGAUCAGUAGCCGACCUGAGAGGGUGAUCGGCCACAUUGGAACUGAGACACGGUCCAAACUCCUACGGGAGGCAGCAGUGGGGAAUAUUGCACAAUGGGCGAAAGCCUGAUGCAGCAACGCCGCGUGAGCGAUGAAGGCCUUCGGGUCGUAAAGCUCUGUCCUCAAGGAAGAUAAUGACGGUACUUGAGGAGGAAGCCCCGGCUAACUACGUGCCAGCAGCCGCGGUAAUACGUAGGGGGCUAGCGUUAUCCGGAAUUACUGGGCGUAAAGGGUGCGUAGGUGGUUUCUUAAGUCAGAGGUGAAAGGCUACGGCUCAACCGUAGUAAGCCUUUGAAGCUGGGAAACUUGAGUGCAGGAGAGGAGAGUGGAAUUCCUAGUGUAGCGGUGAAAUGCGUAGAUAUUAGGAGGAACACCAGUUGCGAAGGCGGCUCUCUGGACUGUAACUGACACUGAGGCACGAAAGCGUGGGGAGCAAACAGGAUUAGAUACCCUGGUAGUCCACGCCGUAAACGAUGAGUACUAGCUGUCGGAGGUUACCCCCUUCGGUGGCGCAGCUAACGCAUUAAGUACUCCGCCUGGGAAGUACGCUCGCAAGA